rnacentral:rRNA from 1 species
UACGUAGGGUGCAAGCGUUGUCCGGAAUCAUUGGGCGUAAAGCGCGCGUAGGUGGCCCCAUAAGUCCGCUGUGAAAGUCAAAGGCUCAACCUUUGAAAGCCGGUGGAUACUGUGGGACUAGAGUACGGAAGAGGCGAGUGGAAUUCCUGGUGUAGCGGUGAAAUGCGCAGAUAUCAGGAGGAACACCGAUGGCGAAGGCAGCUCGCUGGGACGGUACUGACGCUGAGGCGCGAAAGCGUGGGGAGCGAACAGG